AGCGAACGCUGGCGGCAGGCCUAACACAUGCAAGUCGAACGAACCUUUCGGGGUUAGUGGCGGACGGGUGAGUAACACGUGGGAACGUGCCUUUAGGUUCGGAAUAACUCAGGGAAACUUGUGCUAAUACCGAAUGUGCCCUUCGGGGGAAAGUGUUAUCGCCUUUAGAGCGGCCCGCGUCUGCUUAGCUAGUUGGUUGAGGUAAUGGCUCACCAAGGCGACGAUCAGUAGCUGGUCUGAGAGGAUGAGCAGCCACAUUGGGACUGAGACACGGCCCAAACUCCUACGGGAGGCAGCAGUGGGGAAUCUUGCGCAAUGGGCGAAAGCCUGACGCAGCCAUGCCGCGUGAAUGAUGAAGGUCUUAGGAUAGUAAAAUUCUUUCACCGGGGACGAUAAUGACGGUACCCGGAGAAGAAGCCCCGGCUAACUUCGUG
rnacentral:rRNA from 1 species